AUUGAACGCUAGCGGCAUGCUUAACACAUGCAAGUCGAACGGCAGCGCGGGGAGCUUGCUCCCUGGCGGCGAGUGGCGGACGGGUGAGUAACGCGUAGGAAUCUACCUUAUAGUGGGGGACAACCCGGGGAAACUCGGGCUAAUACCGCAUAAUCUCUACGGAGCAAAGCAGGGGACCUUCGGGCCUUGCGCUAUUAGAUGAGCCUGCGUUGGAUUAGCUUGUUGGUGGGGUAAUGGCCUACCAAGGCGACGAUCCAUAGCUGGUCUGAGAGGACGAUCAGCCACACUGGGACUGAGACACGGCCCAGACUCCUACGGGAGGCAGCAGUGGGGAAUAUUGGACAAUGGGGGCAACCCUGAUCCAGCAAUGCCGCGUGUGUGAAGAAGGCCUUCGGGUUGUAAAGCACUUUCAGUGGGGAAGAAAGGCCUAAGGUUAAUACCCUUAGGAGUUGACGUUACCCACAGAAGAAGCACUGGCUAACUCUGUG
rnacentral:rRNA from 1 species